CAAGACGAGAGUCGGAUUGAGGAUAAACAUCCCUUAAAGGGAAAAUGUCAAAUAUAGGAUCAAAAACCUUUCCUCAAGCAAGGUCAGCUCUAGAAGUAGAAAAGGAGGGGCUAAAGUUAUAGGAAUGAAAGAGUCGAAGAUCAAUCCUCAGGCUGUGUAUGGGGAACCUUUUUUUAGUGCUGUAGAUAGAGUUGGACUCUGGCGCUUGGAGGCAAGGUGUGAAGGAAGGUUGGGUGGGGGCAUAGGACUAAGCCAAACAACCAACCUAUCAACACAAUAGAUGUGUCAAUGGUGUGGAUUAGGUUAGAUGAUUCUAGAUGUCCUAAGCACUAGGUAAACUUUGUGGGAA
rnacentral:lncRNA from 1 species